rnacentral:misc_RNA from 1 species
CUCUGCACACACACGCCCACACACACACGUACACACACGUACACACACACACGCACACACACACACACACGUACACACACGUACACACACACACGCACACACGCACACGCAAGGCUGCCGAGCACAGGGCCGCGCCGCGCCGGUCGCCGCUUGUCUGCGCUCUUCGCGGGGGGGGGUCGAGCGCGCACGUGCGUUUGUGCGUGCGGGGGUGGCUGAUGCGUUUGCUUCGCUCUCCCGCCUCGUGCAGCCCCCUGCCUGGUGAUGCUGCGCUGUGCCCCUAGCAAGCUGUUCCGCGCCACGCCGCUGCUGCGUGUGUGGGCCGCGGAGGAGGACGACGCGAGCGCCCCGCGGACGACCUUCCGGAACGUGAGGCCCGGCCGGCUGCUGCGGCUGUGGCGCCAGAUGCGGCAGCGCGCAUGGAUCCUGUACGCGUGGGAUGAGGAGUGGGUGUCGCCGAUGCAGGAGGGCUACCUGCACCAGCAGCGUCUCGAGCAGGUGUGCUUCGCGCCGCUGUCCGCGUACGGCAUGGUGCCUGGCAGCUACUGCGAUCCCCUGCUGUACAACACCAAGAGCACGUCGCCGUUCCGGUGGCACGUGGCGAACGUGCAGGGCGACAUUGUCGGACACUGGUACAUGGACGCCGACGAGCUGUUCCGCAUCAAGGACUGGCAGCCAAGGAACCCGGACGACCCGCUGGAGAUGUUCCCGCGACCGCCGCAGAUGCUGCUGCGGUGGGACGAGUCGGUGGACGAGCACGGCAACCGCGCGUUCCGGUACAGGUACGACUACGAUAUGAUGGGCCCCACGGGCAAGUGGGAGGCGUACCCGCGGUACCCCUUCUCUCACCUUUACCAUGGCGGGCCAGACCAGCACGGACGCGCUGAGGGGUACGGCUUCCAGCAGGGCCACCUCCUGCGCUGCGACGAGGCGGAGGAGGAGGUGCUGCGCCGCAUCAUGGAGGGGGAGGACAGGGAGUGGGAGAUGGUGAAGCGGACGGAGGCGGUGCAGGAGCCGUGGUCGUACCCCGGCAAGAUCCGCCCGAGGGACUUUGAGGGGCGGUGGAGCGUGCCAAGGCGCGGUUCCGCGAGCGGGUCCGACACGGCAAGGAGACGGACCCGAGCGAGGACCCCGAGUACGACCUUGCUCAGGCCAGCGAGUACGUGGAGCCGCGCGAUGGGCGGCGGGCGGAAUGGCGGCAUUUGUGGGCGUCGGGCCGCAAGCCCGGCGAGUCGCUGCCCUUCCAAGUAACGUUCAACGACGGACUGUGCUUCGAGGAGAACGAGGGCGGCCCGCCAGCGCACCCGGCGGCGCACUACGAGGCGACGCCGAAGGGGGCGCCGCACGGGAGGUACGAGGACGCCGACGCCGCUGCAGCCCGCGCAGCUGAAGCGGCGCACAAGGCUGCGUGUGAGCAGUCGUUGAGCGAGGCGAUGGAGCGGCAUCGCAGGCUGUUUGGCGACACGAGCGGCGAGCCGAGCGGGCCGAGGGCGCCUCUGCCGACGGGUUGCCGGCCGAUGAGGUGCGCGCCGGGCCCGCCGCUGCCAUCUGGCCGCAGCCGGAGCUCGGCGCCAGAGCAGUGAGCAGCGGGCCCGUGUGUGGCGCAGGGGCGCGUGAUGGGAGAGCGAGGGGGAGGGGCGCGGUGGUGAAGCGCCUCCCGGCUACGGUGUGCGCGCGUGCUCACGGCGGCGGCGGGAGGGGUGGGUGUGACGACGGCGCGACACGCUCGACACGGGUGCCGCCUCGUCUCUCUCUCCUUCGGGAGUUUGACUGCCGCCCGCCACGCGCCUGGUGCUCGCUGCCCGCCGGCACCGUGUGCGCGGCUCAUCCGCACCCCUGCGGUGCCUUGCAAGGCCGGCAUUUGGUGCCGCAUUGGACGGGCGGGUGCGGCUACGAUGGCGGCGGUAGGGCUGCCUGCGCCGCACCGCUUGCGCGUGUGCGCCAACGGACCGUCCACACCCUUUCCCCACUCGUCUCCGCUCGGCGCUUCCCGGGUCUCCUGCUUGGCAUGCGCUGCCGCGCUCGUAGCGGCUCGGGCAAUGGGAGGCGGAGGCGGCGGCCGCUGCGGAACGAGAGAGGCGGCGAUGGAGGCACGCUGGGUGAAGGGGCGCGGGGCGGUGGACGAGCGUGCCCCGUCACCCUCCCCCUGCCCUGCGAUCUGCUCCCGCUGAUGCGCGGCUGCCGACGGUGCCGAUGCUCUGCCUUCCGUCUCCUCUACGCGCCCUUGCGUGUCUCUCGGCAGGCCUCGGGGCAUCACGCACGCACCCGCACAUACACGUGCGUGCGUCUGUGCGCGUGCGCGUGUGCCUCUGAUGCUGGCCGCCUCUGUCGUGGCCCGGCGCGCGCUGCUGCUGGCCGGGUAACGGGCGCAUGCAGUCACACAGGCCCGCAUCUCCGUCCGCAUCUCGCUCUCCCCGGCCCCCCGCACCGCCGCCCGCGUCCGGUGCGCUGCUUGCGUGCCUCACCGCCCGUGGCAUCCGCCUCUGCCUGCUGGUAUGCUGCGCGCCCCCUCGCUCUCCUCCUCCCUGCCCUGCGCCGCCCGCCCCGCAAGAGCCAUGCACGCGCGUCGGCUCCCCUGACCGCCUGUGCUCACGAGCAGCCGCGGAGGGUGGGGGAGGCGAACGGAUGCCGGUGCGGCUGUGCGUGCCGAUGGAGGGCAUCCGGAUGCCGCGCUGCCGCCCGUGCCGCCGUCGCGGUGGCGUUGCGGGUGUCUCUUGUCUGGUUUGCUUUGCCGCUGCGUGCUGAGCGGAGGCGUGCGCGGCGGGCGGGGCGUUCCUGAGCGCGCCGCGGACUCCGCACACCGGGUGCGGUGAGCUGGAGGACUCGGUGGCCGGCGCUUGGAGCGAUGUGGUGGGGAGGGGCUGAGGGCGUCGAGCCGCUGAGUGGCGCCGUGCGCGCGUGACGGAACGCACAUCGCAGAGUGGGCUGUGCCGGCCGCCUGGCCAACUGCUCGCGCGGGUGUGCGCCGGCGCCCUGGAUGAGCGGUGGCAGUGCGUGCACGGCGGCCGUGAUGGGGGCCGCGGACGGCGCGACCGCGAGCGUCUGCACAGCGCGUCGCAGCCGCACCAGCGCGUGCCGUGUGCCCUGGGCGUGCGGCGGCCGCAGCCACGCAUGGCGCGUCGCAGCUGUCUGGGUGGCGGAGGCACCGGCGCGCUGUAGCACGAUGGGCUGGCCAUACGCGACGUGGCUGCUUGUACGCGCUGACUGGUGCACCCGUGCGCGCAUGUGCAGAGCGGCGUGAGCGCGCACAGGCGUGCAUAUGCCGCCACGCUCACACGGGAGUGGUGUGGCCUGCUGCGCUGGUCUCCCUCUGUUGGACGCAGGGCUGCGGGUAGGCGGUGCGGGCUUGCGGGGGCGCACGUGCGCGAGCGCUGGGUGGUGCGCGCCGCUGCUCUCCCGCUGCUCUCCGCCGAGCACCCCCUCGCCGACGAGCCGCUGCCGCUGCCUUGCACAUCCUUCUUUCUGUGUGCGAGGUGCAUGAUAAUGGUAUGCGGAUGCUGGUGGGGCUGCGCAUGGGCGCUCGCCUCUCUCCCACACGCGGGCUCGACGUAUCCGUGCUGUCAGCGCUCCUGCCCACCGCCCCCACGCGUGUGUGCGCGCGCUCCGGCGCUGCUGCCGCUGGCGCUGUUGUGUGUGUGCAGGGGCGCUCCCGCCCGCCGGCCAUGCUCUCUGUUUCGCUGGCCGCCCUCUCUACGCCGCUGGCGUGGGCGGAGCUCCGCGCUGCGUAUCGCUCGCCCCUCGCUGCCCCUCCCUGCCCCUCGCUGCCCCUCCGUGCCCCUCGCCUCCUCCUCCUCAUGUGCACUGCUCCCUCCCUCUCCCUCCCUCUCCGCUCCUCGCUGUCCCCUCGGCCGACCUCCACGGACACGCAG